rnacentral:tRNA from 1 species
GCAGUGGUGGUUGAGUGGUAGAAUUCUCAACUUCAGUGUGUGAAACCUGGGUUCGAUUCCCAGCUAGUGCA